rnacentral:rRNA from 1 species
GAUCCUGGCUCAGGAUGAACGCUGGCGGCGUGCUUAACACAUGCAAGUCGAACGGAGUUUUAACGGAAGUUUCGGAUGGAAGUUAAGAACUUAGUGGCGGACGGGUGAGUAACGCGUGGGUAACCUGCCUCAUACAGGGGGAUAACAGUUAGAAAUGACUGCUAACACCGCAUAAUAUAGUGAAACCGCAUGAUUUUGCUAUCAAAUAUUUAUAGGUAUGAGAUGGGCCCGCGUCUGAUUAGCUAGUUGGUGGGGUAAAGCCUACCAAGGCGACGAUCAGUAGCCGGCUUGAGAGAGUGACCGGCCACAGUUGGGACUGAGACACGGCCCAAACUCCUACGGGAGGCAGCAGUGGGAAUAUUGGACAAUGGGGGAAACCCUGAUCCAGCGAACCGCCGCGUGAGUGAAGAAGUAUUUCGGUAUGUAAAGCUCUAUCAGCAGGGAAGAUAAUGACAGUACCUGACUAAGAAGCCCCGGCUAACUACGUGCCAGCCGCAGC